UUGGCCGGGGAACUUGUCCUGCAACACAGUUGUGCCCUUGUGGCGUGGCUUCCGGAGCUAACGCGUUAAAUCGACCGCCUGGGGAGUACGGCCGCAAGGUUAAAACUCAAAUGAAUUGACGGGGGCCCGCACAAGCGGUGGAGCAUGUGGUUUAAUUCGAUGCAACGCGAAGAACCUUACCUGGUCUUGACAUCCACAAAACUUUCCAGAGAUGGAUUGGUGCCUUCGGGAACUGUGAGACAGGUGCUGCAUGGAUGUCGUCAGCUCGUGUUGUGAAAUGUUGGGUUAAGUCCCGCAACGAGCGCAACCCUUAUCCUUUGUUGCCAGCGGUUCGGCCGGGAACUCAAAGGAGACUGCCAGUGAUAAACUGGAGGAAGGUGGGGAUGACGUCAAGUCAUCAUGGCCCUUACGACCAGGGCUACACACGUGCUACAAUGGCAUAUACAAAGAGAAGCGACCUCGCGAGAGCAAGCGGACCUCAUAAAGUAUGUCGUAGUCCGGAUUGGAGUCUGCAACUCGACUCCAUGAAGUCGGAAUCGCUAGUAAUCGUAGAUCAGAAUGCUACGGUGAAUACGUUCCCGGGCCUUGGUACACACAAA
rnacentral:rRNA from 1 species